CUUUCAAAUAACUAAAUAAAUCUUUUAAAAAAGCCCUUUAUUCACUUAGUUCAUAAGUUCCACUAUGUUUCAUAGGAAGGUCCUGGGAGUGAGUUUACAGGAUAUACAUGUAGCUUGUAGCUGCUGCCACAACUUAACAUUACGCUUCUUCAGAAUGUAGUAUUUACUGUAUAAUUAUUCCUGCAAAUACUAGCUAUUUACCAGUCGUGGGACAAAAAGAGAUGGAAAUAGACACAGUUAUAAAUGACUGCUAGUCACUAUAGCAACACUACAAAAAUGUUCUAUUUUUGUCCCUGUGAUAAUAAAUUUACUAACAUAUAUGUCUUACAACAUGCAUUAUUUUAAAUAUACAUGAAACAUUUUGAGAUACACCUCCAAAUUUUAUUCUAAGUGUAUUUCCUUAAAUAUAACAUCCAUAACACAUGCCAACCACCCCACGAUAAGGUCACUCAAAAUUAAAUUACCUUCUAUUCCAUACAGCCAGGUCGUCUUUCACAAGGAAAACUACACAGGUAUUUUUCAGUUGCCCCCAACUAAGGUGAUUAUAGAAAUAUUUACAGAAUCGUGUGCUGUUAAGAUUUGAGUUUGGCUGAAAUACACUCGUGACUGUUCCAAACUUUAUGUUUUAAGAAUGAGAAAAUCAAUUAUGCUCUUUCAACACCCAAAUCUCCAUCUUUCUGUUUGUUUACUCUUUGGUGCAAAUAAUUCUAUAAAAGGAGAGAAAGCAAGAUGAUCUUGGGAUCAGUCUCCUGUGCAGCUGAGGUUUUAGGAAAUGUGUAUGAGGAAAUGGAGUUGCAGAGAACAUAGAAUACAUAACUUUCCAACUUUCCAAGGCCCCAUGGAGUCUGAAGGCUGUGAACCCCCAAAAGGAAUACACAAAGAGGAGGUGCUGAGUGGUUCUCAAGUCUGCCCAGUCACUGGCUGCCAGGAAAAUAAGCCGCCUCCUAUGGUUGCUCUACUGUUUUUCCAGGACGGAUGGGCACAUGGAUUUGUCUGCUAAAGCAACACCCAGCACCUAGGCGUCAUCUUCUCUCCAAGGCACAGAAAAUGUAACCCUGAUCAGACUGGGAACAUCUAAUGACUAAGACGGGAAAGUAUCCCAGUGCUGAAGGCAAACACAAGAAACUCUGGGCGCCAGAGGGAAUUUUGUACAUAGAAAAUGCCUGCCAAAGAGCUGGUCACUCCUGUUCUGUCGCUGUUAGACCUCCUGGAGACGUUCACUCUGGAAGGUAAGUGGUGUGCCCGAGAUGAGAUCUAACUGGGUCAACUUCCUCCCCCUUAAAACAUUCCCCAGGAGGUUCAACAAAUAAUGUCAGAGACUCUGGUGCAAUACGAACAGACUUCCUCACUACGCUAAAGGUCACCAACUACAGAAGUACUCUGAACGUCACCAAGCAGAGAAGGCUAGGAACUCUGAGCAGACACAGGAAGAAUUAGCGACGAAUUCAAAUUCACUGAGCCUGGGGUAGGCGGAGACCCAGAACAUGCUAGAAGGCAGGAAGAAACGAGUUUGGGAUAAAAUACACCCAAAGUCAACAGCAUCUUUAUGGAUAAA